rnacentral:lncRNA from 1 species
AGCAACAAACAUUUCCACCACAACAGCCAUAUCCGCAGCCGCAACCAUUUCCAGCACAACAACCAUAUCCGCAGCCGCAACUAUUUCCACAGCCGCAACCUUUUCCGCCACAACUUCCAUAUCCGCAGCCGCAACCAUUUCCCCCACAACAACCAUAUCCACAACCGCAAACACAGCAUCUGCAACCACAACAACCAAUUUCGCAGCAACAAGCACAACAACAACAACAACAACAACAACAACAACAAAUCCUUCAACAAAUUCUGCAACAACAACAACUGAUUCCAUGCAGGGAUGUCAUCGUCUUGCAACAACACAACAUAGCGCAUGAAAGCUCACAAGUAUUGCAGCAAAGUAGUUACCAAGUGUUGCAACAAUUAUGUUGUCAGCAGCUGCGGCAGAUCCCCGAGCAGUCGCGGUGCCAAGCCAUCAACAAUGUCGUUCAUGCUAUUAUUCUGCAUCAACAACAACAACAACAAGGACAACAUCAACAGUCGAGCCAGGUCUCCUACCAGCAGCCUCAGCAACAAUAUCCAUCAGGCCAGGGCUCCUUCCAGCCAUCUCAGCAAAAUCCACAGGCCCAGGGCUUUGUCCAACCUCAACAUCUGCCCCAACUCGAGGAAAUAAGUAACCUAGCGCUGCAGACGCUACCAGCAAUGUGCAAUGUCUACAUCCCUCCAUAUUGCUCGACCACCAUUGCGCCAUUUGGCAUCUUCGGUACUAACUGAGAAGAGAAGAACUCUAGUACUAGAUAUAUGAAACACCGUGUUCUUAGUCCAUGGUUUGGUCGUUGUACCGUUGAAAAUAUAAGGUGACAUGCACUAUCAUGUAAGAACCCGAACUAUACUAGUUCAAACUUGGGAAUAAAAGACAAACACAUGUCUUGUCUGCAUAUGAUUGUUUAUUUGAGUUCCAUUCCUAUGCCCAUUCACAAGUUCACCCCUAAUUAUAUAUAUUACACAUUAAGUAGAUAUUUAUGUUGCAUUAAUCUGAAGAUAACAAAGUGAGUCUGAAACUUGAAUUAUUUUCUUGGACUUUCAAAUUGUGUAUUAUUAAAGUAGUAAGGACUAUCCACAUCCUUGGCUUGCCCUUGAUCAAUUAUUCCCAGAGAAGCUUUCAGUUCAUAAAUCAAUUACAUUGAUUUUUGUGAAUGGUACAUCUCCUCAUCACGAGUAUCAUUACGGCUACUCCAAAUCGCCCACAUAACCGAAGCAUUAAUAGCGCCCUUCUUGCAUCCGGAAAUAUGGAUCGAAGAUAUCACUUGACCAUGUUUCCAGGUGCAACCUUGGGAUUUUUAUGUGAAAAUAUUCUCAAGCAAAAUCCAAGAAUAAACUUGCAUGCUCACGUGUGAUGAGGGCAGAUGAAGUAACAUUUCCUCCCCAUGGCCACACAUAGGGCACACACAUAACCCCAUCACAUGCCUUUUUAGUUAUGCAUAUGAAAGGUAGGAUGUUUUUAAUUACUCUCCACCAAAAUACUCUUAACUUGGCUUGUACCCUAAUAUUUCGUUGCCUUUUCAAUUGUUCUUCCCCAUUAGACAAAGUAGACAGUCCAUCUACCACACCGUACCUUGUGUCCAUCAUUGCUCUGUACAACAAUUGAACAGAACAAAUGUCAUUUCUUUACGAUACCCACGACCAAAUGUCCUCUGCUGGAUUGUUUGGUCGUGGCAUAUUAAGGAUGGCCACCUCAUCUCAUGGGGUAAACACCUAAUGAAUGAAAGGAUUGUUCUAGUCGCCCGUGUUUUUCAUCGAUAAGAUCAUCUACAAGUUGGACCGAAGUUUCUCACAUGCAUCAUAGUGGUUUCAUUAGCGGCGUGCCCUGCACCCAUUUAUCACGUCGUAUCUCUGUAGUAUGUGCAUUCCCAAUUUGUCACAGCAUACCCUCCUUCAAACCUUCUUUCCCUUUCAGAUUAGCACGCCAAGUUAGCUAUGCACUAUGCGGGAACCAGCAUUUGAAAAAAAAGAAUCUCAUUUCAUGGUAUCUUCCAUGAAGGACCCUCGUACAUUAGCUAUCUAGGUAGAAAUAGCCAUGUGUGUUUAGCAAACUUUAAAUAAGUGAAUAGAUCAAGGUCGUGGAACCCCAAGCCUCCAAUUACACAUGGCCUCUCUACCAAUAAGAUCUCCAAAGACAUCAAGGAUACAGACAGCCAAAAAAGAAAAUAAAAAUAAAAAAAAUAAAAAAUACCCUGCCAUGGUGAUCAAUCACAAGCAUCAACAGCACUCUAACCACCACCAAAGACAAUGCCCAGAUUACAAAAAAAAAUUAUCCAAAAACAAUGCCCCCAAGAAGGAAACAAUACACAAGCGUUGUCGUUGCCCGAUCGAAGAUCGUGGGUUUUCACCCUGGAAAAUUUUCGAGUUCACCCAAAAACAAUGCCUUCAACAAGGCCAUUGCCAAGUACAACAAAUAUGGUCGAGACCUUGGGUUUUCACCCUGGGAAUUGAGACUCGAUGCUCGAGGAGUACCAGCAAAAAUGCAGUCCACUAGUGUUGCCGCCCCCACUUGGCGAGGCCACUGUUGCAAGUCACCAAACACCUGGCAUAUAGUUGUCAUCGCAUCCAAUACACCCUUCGGCCGAAGCUUCAAGACCUUGAUCCGUCUCCAACGUAUCUAUAAUUUUUGAUUGUUCCAUGCUAUUAUAUUAUCUGUUUUGGAUGUUUUAUAUGCAUUAUUGUGCUAUUUUAUAUGAUUUUUGGGACUAACCUAUUAAACUAGAGCCCAGUGUCAGUUCCUGUUUUUUCCUUGUUUUAGAGUUUCGUAGAAAAGGAGUACCAAAUGGAGUCCAAAUGGAAUUAAACUUUUGCGAUGAUUUUUCUUAGACCAGAAGACAUCUAGAGGACUUGGAGUGCACGUUAAGAAAGCCACGAGGCUGCCACAACGACAGAGGUGUGCCCCCACCCUUGUGGGCCCCUUGUGACUCUACCGACAUAUUUCUUCCGCCUAUAUAUUCUCAAAUAUUCCAAAACAUACUAGGAGAGCCACAAAAACACUUUUCCACCGCCGCAACCUUCUAUACCCGUGAGAUCCCAUGUAGGGGCCUUUCCCAGCAUCCUGUCGGAGGGGGAUUCGAUCACUGAGGGCUUCUACAUCAACACCAUUGCCUCUCCGAUGAAGCGUGAGUAGUUUACCACAGACCUAUGGGUCCAUAGCUAGUAUCUAGAUGGCUUCUUCUCUCUCUUUGAUUCUCAAUACCAUGUUCUCCUCGAUGUUCUUGGAGAUCUAUUCGAUGUAAUACUCUUUUUGCGGUGUGUUUGCUAAGAUCCGAUGAAUUGUGGAUUUAUGAUCAGGUUAUCUAUGAGUAUUAUUUGAAUCUCCUAUGAAUUCUUAUAUGCAUGAUUUGAUAUCUUUGCAAGUCUCUUCGAACUACCGAUUUGGUUUGGCCAACUAGAUUGGUUUUUCUUGCAAUGGGAGAGGUGCUUAACUUUGGGUUCAAUCUUGCGGUGCUCGAUCCCAGUGACAGAAGGGGAUGAUACGUCUCCAACGUAUCUAUAAUUUUUUAUUGUUCCAUGCUAUUAUUUUAUCAACCUUGGAUGUUUUAUAUGCAUUUAUAUGCUAUUUUAUAUGAUUUUUGGAACUAACCUAUUAACCUAGAGCCCAGUGCUAGUGCCAGUUUCUGUUUUUUUCCUUGUUUUAGGGUUUCGAAGAAAAGGAAUAUCAAAUGGAGUCCAAACGGAAUGAAACCUUCGGAAAAGUUAUUUUUGGAAAGAAAGUAAUACGGUAGACUUGGAGUGCACGUCCGGGGAUCAACGAGGAAGCCACGAGGCAGGGGGCGCGCCCACCCAUCUUGGGCACGCCCUCCACCCUCGUGGCUCCCCAAAUGUAUUUCUUCCACCUAUAUAUAUAUCCAUAUACCCCAAAACGAUCGAGGAGCACAAUAGAUCGGGAGUUUCGCCGCCAGAAGCCUCCGUAGCCACCGAAAGCUAAUCUAGACCCGUUCCGGCACCCUACCGGAGGGGGAAUCCCUCUCCGGUGGCCAUCUUCAUCAUCCCGGUGCUCUCCAUGACGAGGAGGGAGUAGUUCUCCCUCGGGGCAAAGGGUAUGUACCAGUAGCUAUGUGUUUGAUCUCUCUCUCUCUCUCUCUCUCUCUCUCUCUCUCUCGUGUUCUUGAGGUGAUACGAUCUUGAUGUAUCGCGAGCUUUGCUAUUAGAGUUGGAUCUUAUGUUGCUUCUCCCCCUCUACUUUCUUGUAAUGGAUUGAGUUUCCCCUUCGAAGUUAUCUUAUCGGAUUGAGUCUUUAAAAAUUUCAAAACACUUGAUGUAUGUCUUGCCGCGCGUAUCUGUCGUGACAAUGGGAUAUCAUGUUAUUCACUUGAUGUAUGUUAUGGUGAUCAACAUGCGGGUUCCGCCCAUGAACCUAUGCAUAGGGGUUGGCACACGUUUUGAGGUUCUAUGUGUUGGUUGAAUAGAUGAAUCUAGAUUGUGUGAUGCAUAUCGUAUAAUCAUACCCACGGAUACUUCAGGUGACAAUGGAGUAUCUAGGUGGCAUUAGGGUUUUGGUUGAUUUGUGUCUUAAGGUGUUAUUCUAGUACGAAAUCUAGGACUGUUUGUGACACUUAUAGGAAUAGCCCAACGGAUUGAUUGGAAAGAAUAACUUUGAGGUGGUUUUGUACCCUACCAUAAUCUCUUCAUUCGUUCUCCGCUAUUAGUGACUUUGGAGUGACUCUUUGUUGCAUGUUGAGGGAUAAUUAUGUGAUCCAAUUAUGUUAUUAUUGUCGAGAGAACUUGCACUAGUGAAAGUAUGAACCCUAGGCCUUGUUUCGACGCAUUGCAAUACCGUUUACGCUCACUUUUAUCAUUAGUUACCUUGCUGUUUUUAUAUUUUCAAAUUACAAAAACCUUUAUCUACCAUCCAUAUACCACUUGUAUCACCAUCUCUUCACCGAACUAGUGCACCUAUACAAUUUACCAUUGUAUUGGGUGUGUUGGGGACACAAGAGACUCUGUGUUAUUUGGUUGCAGGGUUGCUUGAGAGAGACCAUCUUCAUCCUACGCCUCCUACGGAUUGAUAAACCUUAGGUCAUCCACUUGAGGGAAAUUUGCUACUGUCCUACAAACCUCUGCACUUGGAGGCCCAACAACGUCUACAAGAAGAAGGUUGUGUAGUAGACACCAAGCUCUUUUCUGGCGCCGUUGCCGGGAAGGUGAGUGCUUGAAGGUAUAUAUUUAGAUCUUGCAAUUGAAUCUUUUUGUUUCUUGUUUUAGCACUAGUUUAGUUUAUAAAAGAAAACUACAAAAAAACGGAAUUGAGUUUACCUCACACGCUUCAUCUUUUUAAUAUCUUUCGUGAGUAUGAUGGAAAGAAAAAUUGUGCCAAAGUGUUAGAAGAAGAAUGCAUUAAAAUGUUUGGCAUUAAAUAUUUGAAUGAUGAGCAUUAUUGCAAUGUUGUUAGUAUGAAUUCCUUGAAUAUCCAUAGUGCUAAUGAUGAUUGCACUAGUUAUGAUGAAAAUGUCUCAUGUAAACAUGUCAAUUUUUGUGGAGUGCAUUGGGUUUGCAAGUACACACCAAUUAGGGAAGAUAGAUUUUGCAAGAGGCAUAAGUACUUAGAAACUAAAUUGUUGCAAGAAAGGCUAGAUGAAUGUGCUGAAAAUUUAAAUUUUCUUGGCCAUACUUGUGAGCUUUGCCAUGAACAUGGUCAUUUAACCAUCCGAUGCAAAUUGUUUCAUGAUCUAAUCAUUUCCAAAAAUUGUGAUGACUUGAUUUCCCUUGCACAUCAUAAUGAACUUAGUUUGCUUAUGGGUUAUGAAGAAAUGAAAUGUAUAACUAACUAUCUUCCAGUAUUUGCCCGUGAUAAACUUCUUGGAUUUGAUCUAGAGGAAAUUUAUAUGUAUUGUGCGGUGAAUUGCAUUGAAAACCCCUAUAUUGCCAAUUACAUAAAGAAAAGAAAACAAAUAGAGGAUGAACAGAAUACUAAUGAAAGGGAAGAAACCUUCCAAUAUCCUCCUAUUAUUUCUUAUAAUGAACUAGGUAACGAGGAGGAGCCUCCUAUUCAACCAAUCUCAUUAAUAAGGAGCUCCAAAAAGAGGAUUGAACCCACACACGAUGUAGUGAAGAAGAAGAAAAGAAAGAGGAAGAGAGGUAAGAAGAUAUCUCUCCCAAAUAAUGCUGCUCCUAUUACUAUUGUGCCUCAUGAAAAUAUAAUUGUGGAAGAUAAUGAUACUUCUUAUGAUCUUGAUAAUCCUUUUGUCACUUGCUUGGAAGAAUAUGAUAAUUGCUAUACUAUUGGUUCUAUCCAUACUAUUAAUGAUGAGAGUGAUUAUGCUUAUGAUAUGAAAAGGCCCAAGCUUUGGGAUGCUAUGUUGGAUGAAGAUGAUGUUUUUGAGAAUAUAUUUGCUACAAUUAAUGUUUGUCCCAAGCUUGGGGAUGCUACGUUUAAUCAAGAUGAUAUUUUUAGUCUCCCAAGUUUUGAUAUGCAAAUUUAUAAUGAUGAUAGCAUGCCUCCUACUUAUGAUGAUUAUUGUGAUGAUACUUAUGCUAUAAAAAGUAGUGAUUAUAUUUAUAAAACUUGUCAUGAUUAUGGUUACCCCUUUUCUGAACAUUACUCUUUUAAUGUGGAAACAAUUUAUAGUAUUCGAGUUUCUUAUGAUACUCCCACUAUUCCGAAUGAGAAGAAUUUUGCUUGUGUAGAGAGUAAUAAAAUUUCUAUGCUUGUAGAUCAUGAAAAGAAUGCUUUAGGUUCUGGUUAUAUUUUUGAAUUCAUUCAUGAUGCUGCUGAAAAUUAUUAUGAGGGAGGAACAUAUGCUUGUAGGAAUUGCAAUAAUAUCAAGUUUCCUCUCUAUGUGCUUAAAGUUUUGAAGUUAUGCUUGUUUUGCCCUCCUAUGCUAGUUGAUUAUUGUUCCCAUAAGUUGUUUGCUCACAAAAUCCCUAUGCAUAGGAAGUGGGUUAGACUUACAUGUUCUAGUCAUAUGCUUCAUGAUGCUCUCUUUAUGUUUCAAUUCUUAUCUUUUAUGUGAGCAUCAUUGAAAUCAUCAUGCCUAGCUAGGGGCGUUAAACGAUAGCGCUUGUUGGGAGGAAACCCAACUUUAUUUUUGUUCCUUGAUUUUUGCUCCUGUCUAGCAAUAAAUAAUUUAUCUAGCCUCUGUUAUGAUUGAGUUUUUAUGUUAGAACCGUUGGGAAGACUUGGGGAAAGUCUUGGCGAUCAUGCUGUAAAAAAACAGAAACUUUAGCGCUCACGAGAACUGCUGACAUUUUUUAUUGGAGAGUGCUAUUUGGUUAAUUAUUUUUGCAGAUGAUUAAUAGAUAAAUUCCUCAUGUCCAGCAAUUUAUUUUAGAAUUUUUGGGGCUCCAGAAGUUUGCGUUAGUUACAGAUUACUACAGACUGUUCUGUUUUUGACAGAUUCUGUUUUUCGUGUGUUGUUUGCUUAUUUUGAUGAAUCUAUGGCUAGUAAAAUAGUUUAUAAACCAUAGAGAAGUUGUAAUACAGUAGGUUUAACACCAAUAUAAAUAAAUAAUGAGUUCAUUACAGUACCUUGAAGUGGUGUUUUAUUUUCUUUCGCUAACGGAGCUCAUGAGUUUUCCAUUUUAAGUUUUGUGUUGUGAAGUUUUCAAGUUUUGGGUAAAGAUUUGAUGGAUUAUGGAAUAAGGAGUGGCAAGAGACUAAGCUUGGGGAUGCCCAAGGCACCCCAAGGUAAUAUUCAAGGACAACCAAAAGCCUAAGCUUGGGGAUGCCCCGGAAGGCAUCCCCUCUUUCGUCUUCGUUCAUCAGUAACUUUACUUGGAGCUAUAUUUUUAUUCACCACAUGUUACGUGUUUUGCUUGGAGCGUCAUUUUAUUUCAUUUUGUUUUGCUUGCUGUUUGAAUAAAGUAUCAAGAUAUGAAAUUAUUAAGUGGGAGAGUCUUCACAUAGUUGCAUAAGUAUUCGACUACUCAUUGAUCUUCACUUACAUCUUUCAGAGUAGUUUGUCAUUUGCUCUAGUGCUUCACUUAUAUCUUUUGAGAGCACGGUGGUGGUUUUAUUUUGUAGAAAUAGAUGAACUCUCGUGCUUCACUAAUAUUAUUUUGAGAGUCCUUAGAACAGCAUGGUAAUUUGCUUUGGUUAUGAAUUUAGUCCUAAUAUGAUGGGCAUCCAAGAGGGAUAUAAUAAAAACUUUCAUAUAAGUGCAUUGAAUACUAAGAGAAGUUUGAUACUUGAUGAUUGUUUUGAGAUAUGGAGAUAGUGAUAUUAAAGUUGUGCUAUUUGAGUAGUUGUGAAUUUGAGAAAUACUUGUGUUGAAGUUUGCAAGUCCCGUAGCAUGCACGUAUGGUAAACGUUAUGUAACAAAUUUGAAACAUGAGGUGUUCUUUGAUUGUCCUCCUUAUGAAUGGCGGUCGGGGACGAGUGAUGGUCUUUUCCUACCAAUCUAUCCCCCUAGGAGCAUGCAUGUAGUGCUUGGUUUUUGAUGACUUGUAGAUUUUUGCAAUAAGUAUGUGAGUUCUUUAUGACUAAUGUUGAGUCCAUGGAUUAUAUGCAUUCUCACCCUUCCAUCAUUGCUAGCCUCUUCGGUACCGUGCAUUGCCCUUUCUCACAUUGAGAGUUGGUGCAAACUUCGCUGGUGUAUCCAAACCCCGUGAUAUGAUACACUCUUUCACACAUAAACCUCCUUAUAUCUUCCUCAAAACAGCCACCAUACCUACCUAUUAUGGCAUUUCCAUAGCCAUUCUGAGAUAUAUUGCCAUGCAACUUUCCACCAUUCUGUUUAUCAUGACACAUUCAUCAUUGUCAUAUUGCUUAGCAUGAUCAUGUAGUUGACAUAGUAUUUGUGGCAAAGCCACCAUUCAUAAUUAUUUCAUACAUGUCACUCUUGGUUCAUUGCAUAUCCCGGUACACCGCCGGAGGCAUUCAUAUAGAGUCAUAUCUUGUUCUAGUAUCGAGUUGUAAUCUUUGAGUUGUAAAUAAAUAGAAGUGUGAUGAUAAUCAUUAAUAGAGCAUUGUCCCAAAAAAAGGAAGAGAAAGGCCAAAUAAAAAAGGGAAGCCCCCCCAAAAAAAGAAAAGAAAGGCCAAAAAAAAGAAAGGCCAGAUAAAAAAAUAAAAAAAUAAAAAAAUAAAAGGGACAAUGCUACUAUCCUUUUUCCACACUUGUGCUUCAAAGUAGCACCAUGAUCGUUAUGAUAGAGAGUCUCUUGUUUUGUCACUUUCAUAUACUAGUGGGAACUUUUUAUUAUAGAACUUGGCUUGUAUAUUCCAACAAUGGGCCUCCUCAAGUGCCCAAGGUCUUUGUGAGCAAGCAAGUUGGAUGCACACCCACUUAGUUUCUUUUGUUGAGCUUUCAUACAUUUAUGGCUCUAGUGCAUCCGUUGCAUGUCAAUCCCUAAUACUUGCAUUAACAUCAAUUUAUGGGCAUCUCCCUAGCCCAUUGAUUAGCCGCGUCGAUGUGAGACUUUCGUCUUUUUGUCUUGUCCACAUAACCCCCUCAUUAUAUUCUAUUCCACCCAUAGUGCUAUAUCCAUGGCUCACGCUCAUGUAUUGCGUGAAAGUUGAAAAAAGUUUGAGAUUACUAAAGUAUGAAACAACUGCUUGGGUUGUCAUCGGGGUUGUGCAUGAUGAGAGCAUUCUUGUGUGACGAAAAUGGAGCAUGGCCAAACUAUAUGAUUUUGUAGGGAUGAACUUUCUUUGGCCAUGUUAUUUUGAAAAGACAUGAUUGCUUAGUUAGUAUACUUGAAGUAUUAUUAUUUUUAUGUCACUAUUAAACUUUUGUCUUGAAUCUUAUGGAUCUGAAUAUUCUUGCCACAAUAAAGAGAACUACAUGGAUAAAUAUGUUAGGUAGCAUUCCACAUCAAAAAUUCUGUUUUUAUCUUAUACCUACUCGAGGACGAGCAGGAAUUAAGCUUGGGGAUGCUGAUACGUCUCCAACGUAUCUAUAAUUUUUAUUGUUCCAUGCUAUUAUAUUAUCAACCUUGGAUGUUUUAUAUGCAUCUUUAUGCUAUUUUAUAUGAUUUUUGGGACUAACCUAUUAACCUAGAGCCCAGUGCUAGUUUCUGUUUUUUCCUUGUUCUAGGGUUUCGAAGAAAAGGAAUAUCAAACGGAGUCCAAACGGAAUGAAACCUUCAGAAAAGUUGUUUUUGGAAAGAAAGCAAUACGGGAGACUUGGAGUGCACGUCAGGGGAUCAACGAGGAAGCCACAAGGCAGGGGGCACGCCCACCCCCUGGGCGCGCCCUCCACCCUCGUAGGCCCCUCGUGGCUCCCCUGAUGCAUUUCUUCCACCUAUAUGUACCAAUAUACCCUAAAACGAUCGGGGAGCACAAUAGAUCGGGAAUUCCGCCGCCAGAAGCCUCCGUAGCCACCAAAAGCCAAUCUAGACCCGUUCCGGCACCCUGCCGGAGGGUGAAUCCCUCUCCGGUGGCCAACUUUAGCAUCCCGGUGCUCUCCAUGACGAGGAGGGAGUAGUUCUCCCUCGGGGCUGAGGGUAUGUACCAGUAGCUAUGUGUUUGAUCUCUCUCUCUCUCUCUCUCUCUCUCUCGUGUUCUUGAGGUGAUACGAUCUUGAUGUAUCACGAGCUUUGCUAUUAUAGUUGUAUCUUAUGUUUCUUCUCCUCCUCUACUCUCUUGUAAUGGAUUGAGUUUCCCCUUCGAAGUUAUCUUAUCGGAUUGAGUCUUUAAAGAUUUGAGAACACUUGAUGUAUGUCUUGCCGUGCGUAUCUGUGGUGACAAUGGGAUAUCACGUGAUUCACUUGAUGUAUGUUUUCGUGAUCAACAUGCGGGUUCCGCCCAUGAACCUAUGCAUAGGGGUUGGCACACGUUUUCGUCGUGAUUCUUCGGUAGAAACUUUGGUGCACUCUUUGAGGUUCUAUGUGUUGGUUGAAUAGAUGAACCUGAGAUUGUGUGAUGCAUAUCGUAUAAUCAUACCCACAGAUACUUGAGGUGACAAUGGUUUGCUCACAAAAUCCCUAUGCAUAGGAAGUGGGUUAGACUUAAAUGUUCUAGUCAUAUGCUUCAUGAUGCUCUCUUUAUGUUUCAGUUCUUAUCUUUUAUGUGAGCAUCAUUGAAAUCAUCAUGCCUAGCUAGGGGCGUUAAACGAUAGUGCUUGUUGGGAGGAAACCCAACUUUAUUUUUGUUCCUUGCUUUUUGCUCCUGUUUAGCAAUAGAUAACUUAUCUAGCCUCUGUUAUGAUUGAGUUUUUAUGUUUUAAUUAGUGUUUGUGCCAAGUAGAACCAUUGGGAAGACUUGGGGAAAGUCUUUGCGAUCAUACUGUAAAAAACAGAAACUUCAGCGCUCACGAGAAUUGAUGGGCAUCUCCCUAACCCAUUGAUUAGCCGCGUCGAUGUGAGACUUUCUCCUUUAUGUCUUCUCCACAUAACCCCCUCAUUAUAUUAUAUUCCACCCAUAGUGCUAUAUCCAUGGCUCGCGCUCAUGUAUUGCGUGAAAGUUGAAAAAAGUUUGAGAUUACUAAAGUAUGAAACAAUUGUUUGGCUUGUCAUCUGGGUUGUGCAUGAUGAGAGCAUUCUUGUGUGACGAAAAUGGAGCAUGACGAAACUAUAUGAUUUUGUAGGGAUGAACUUUCUUUGGCCAUGUUAUUUUGAGAAGACAUGAUUGCUUAGUUAGUAUGCUUGAAGUAUUAUUAUUUUUAUGUCAAUAUUAAACUUUUUUCUUGAAUCUUAUGGAUUUGAAUAUUCUUGCCAGAAUAAAGAGAACUACAUGGAUAAAUAUGUUAGGUAGCAUUCCACAUCAAAAAUUCGGUUUCAUUAGCGGCGUGCCCUGCACCCAUUUAUCACGUCGUAUCUCUGUAGUAUGCGCAUUCCCAAUUUGUCACGACAUACCCUCCUUCAAACCUUCUUGCCCUUUCAGAUUAGCACGCCAAGCUAGCUAUGCACUAUGCGGGAACCUGCAUUUGAAAAAAAAAGAAUCUCAUUUCAUGGUAUCUUCCAUGAAGGACCCUCGUACAUGAGCUAUCUAGAUAUAAAUAGCCCUGUAUGUUUAGCAAACUUUGCAUAAGUGAAUAGAUCAAGGUCGUGGAACCCCAAGCCUCCAAUUACACACGGCCUCUCUACCAAUAAGAUCUCCAAAGACAUCAAGGAUACAAACAGCCAAAAAAGAAAAUAAAAAGGAAAAAAAUAAAAAAUACCCCACCAUGGUGAUCAAUCACAAGCAUCAGCAGCACUCUAACCACCACCAAAGACAACGCCCAGAUUACAAAAAAAAAUCUCGAAAAGCAAUGCCCCCAAGAAGGAAACAAUACACAAGCGUUGUCGUUGCCCGAUCGAAGAUCGUGGGUUUUCACCCUGGAAAAUUUUUGAGUUCACCCAAAAACAAUGCCUUCAACAAGGCCAUUGCCAAGUACAACAAAUAUGGCCAAGACCUUGGGUUUUCACCCUAGGAAUUGAGAGUCGAUGCUCGAGGAGUACCACCAAAAAUGCAGUCCACUAGUGUUGCCGCCCCCACUUGGCGAGGCCGCUGUUGCAAGUCACCAAACACCUGGCAUAUAGUUGUCAUCGCAUCCAAUACACCCUUCGGCCGAAGCUUCAAGACCUUGAUCCGUCUCCAACGUAUCUAUAAUUUUUGAUUGUUCCAUGCAAUUAUAUUAUCUGUUUUGGAUGUUUUAUAUGAGUAGGGCGUUUUGGUGCCCAGGCUCAUCUGCACCCGGUUAGAAAAAAUUCAUAAAAAAUUGAAACAAAUUCAAAAAAUUCCAAAUAAAAUUUGUAUGGUAGACAAUUUGAUGCGUGAGGCCCGCCACAAAUUUCAAGUCAUUUGGACAUAUGAGAAGCUCUCAGCAAAAAAGACAAAUCGGACCAAAAUAGUACAUGAGCAGUAAACAUUUUUACAGACCCUCAAUUUGUCUUUUUUGCUGAGAGCUGCUCAUAUAUUCAAAUGACUUGAAAUUUGGAGCGGGCCCCGCACAUCAAAAUUUCUAUCACACAAAUUUUAUUUGGAAUUUUUUGAAUUUUUCUAGUAUUUGUUUUGAUUUUUUUCAUCGGCACGGGUGCAGAUGAGCUCAGGUGCAGAAAUGGAUUUUCGGUUUUAUAUGCACUAUUAUGCUAUUUUAUAUGAUUUUUGGGACUAACCUAUUAAACUAGAGCCGAGUGCCAGUUCCUGUUUUUUCCUUGUUUUAGAAUUUCACAGAAAAGGAAUACCAAACGGAGUCCAAACGGAAUGAAACGUUUGCGAUGAUGUUUCUUAGACCAGAAGACAUCUAGAGGACUUGGAGUGCACGUUAGGAAAGCCAUGAGGUGGUCACAAUUACGGAGGGCGCGCCCCCACCCAUGUGGGCUCCUCGUGACUGUACCGACCUAUUUGUCCGCAUAUAUAUUCUCAAAUAUUCCAAAACCUACUAGGAGAGCCACAAAAACACUUUUCCACCGUCGCAACCUUCUGUACGCAUGAGAUCCCAUCUAGGGGCCUUUUCUGGCAUCCUGUCGGAGGGGGAUUCGAUCACGGAGGGCUUCUACAUCAACACCAUUGCCUCUCCGAUGAAGCGUGAGUAGUUUACCACAGACCUAUGAGUCCAUAGCUAGUAUCUAGACGGCUUCUUCUCUCUCUUUGAUUCUCAAUACCAUGUUCUCUUCGAUGUUCUUGGAGAUCUAUUCGUUGUAAUACUCUUUUUGCGGUGUGUUUGCCGAGAUCUGAUGAAUUGUGGAUAUAUGAUCAGGUUAUCUAUGAAUAUUAUUUGAAUCUCCUAUGAAUUCUUAUAUGCAUGAUUUGAUAUCUUUGCAAGUCUCUUCGAACUAUCAAUUUGGUUUGGCCAACUAGAUUGGUUUUUCUUGCAAUGGGAGAAGUGCUUAACUUUGGGUUCAAUCUUGCGUCUCCAAUGUAUCCCAGUGACAGAAGGGGAUGAUACGUCUCCAACGUAUCUAUAAUUUUUGAUUGUUCCAUGCUAUUAUAUUAUCAACCUUGGAUGUUUUAUAUGCAUUUAUAUGCUAUUUUAUUUGAUUUUUGGGACUAACCUAUUAACCUAGAGCCCAGUGCCAGUGCCAGUUUCUGUUUUUUCCUUGUUUUAGGGUUUCAAAGAAAAGGAAUAUCAAAAAGAGUCCAAACGGAAUGAAACCUUCGGAAAAGUUAUUUUUGGAAAGAAAGCAAUACGAGAGACUUGGAGUGCACGUCAGGGGAUCAACGAGGAAGCCACGAGGCAGGGGCGCGCCCACCCCCCUGGGCGCGCCCUCCACCCUCGUGGCUCCCCUAAUGUAUUUCUUCCGCCUAUAUAUAUAUCCAUAUACCCUAAAACGAUCGGGGAGCAUAAUAGAUCGGGUGUUCCGCCACAAGAAGCCUCCGUAGCCACCGAAAGCCAAUCUAGACCCAUUCCGGCACCCUGCCGGGGGAGGAAUCCCUCUCCGGUGUCCAUCUUCAUCAUCCCGGUGCUCUCCAUGACGAGGAGGGAGUAGUUCUCCCUCGGGGCUGAGGGUAUGUACCAGUAGCUAUGUGUUUGAUGUCUCUCUCUCUCUCUCUCUCUCUCUCUCUCUCUCUCUCUCUCUCGUGUUCUUGAGGUGAUACGAUCUUGAUGUAUCGCGAGCUUGGCUAUUAGAGUUGGAUCUUAUGUUUCUUCUCCCCCUCUACUCUCUUGUAAUGGAUUGAGUUUCCCCUUCGAAGUUAUCUUAUCGGAUUGAGUCUUUAAAGAUUUGAGAACACUUGAUGUAUGUCUUGCCGUGCGUAUCUGUGGUGACAAUGGGAUAUCACGUGAUUCAUUUGAUGUAUGUUUUGGUGAUCAAGUUGCGGGUUCCACCCAUGAACCUAUGCAUAGGGGUUGGCACACAUAUUCGUCAUGAUUCGCAGAAACUUUGGGGCACUCUUUGAGGUUCUAUGUGUUGGUUGAAUAGAUGAAUCUGAGAUUGUGUGAUGCAUAUCGGAUAAUCAUACCCACGGAUACUUGAGGUGACAAUGGAGUAUCUAGGUGACAUUAGGGUUUUGGUUGAUUUGUGUCUUAAGGUGUUAUUCUAGUACGAACUCUAGGGCUGUUUGUGACACUUAUAGGAAUAGCCCAAUGGAUUGAUUGGAAAGAAUAACUUGGAGGUGGUUUCAUACCCUACCAUAAUCUCUUCGUUCGUUCUCCGCUAUUAGUGACUUUGGAGUGAUUCUUUGUUGCAUGUUGAGGGAUAGUUAUGUGAUCCAAUUAUGUUAUUAUUGUUGAGAGAACUUGCACUAGUGAAAGUAUGAACCCUAGGCCUUGUUUCAACGCAUUGCAAUACCGUUUACGCUCACUUUUAUCAUUAGUUACCUUGUUGUUUUUAUAUUUUCAGAUUACAAAAACCUUUAUCUACCAUCCAUAUACCACUUGUAUCACCAUCUCUUCGCCGAACUAGUGCACCGAUACAAUUUACCAUUGUAUUGGGUGUGUUGGGGACACAAGAGACUCUUUGUUAUUUGGUUGCAGGGUUGGUUGAGAGAGACCAUCUUCAUCCUACGCCUCCUACGGAUUGAUAAACCUUAGGUCAUCCACUUGAGGAAAAUUUGCUACUGUCCUACAAACCUCUGCACUUGGAGGCCCAACAACGUCUACAGGAGGAAGGUUGUGUUGUAGACAUCAGGGGAACCGACACAUAUUGUAGUGUUUCCAUCGAGGAUAACAAGAUGGGGUUUUCGUCAUAUUGCUUGAGUUUAUCCCGCUACAUCAAGUCAUCUUACUUAAUGCGUUAUCCUGUUCUUAUGAACUUAGUACUCUAGAUGCAGGCAGGAGUCAGUGGAUGUGUGGAGUAAUAGUAGUAGAUGCAAGCAGGAGUCAGUCUACUUGAUACAAACGUGAUGCUUAUGUUCAUGAUCAUUGCCUUAGAUAUCGUCAUAAGUUUGCACUUUUCAAUCAAUUGCUCAGCAGUAAUUUGUUCACCCACCAUAAGAUUUUCUAUCUUGAGAGAAGCCUCUAGUGAAACUUAUGGCCCCGGGGUCUACUUUCCAUCAUAUAAGUUUCCGAUCUACAAAUGUGUUGGUUGAAUAGAUGAAUCUGAGAUUGUGUGAUGCAUAUCGUAUAAUCAUACCCACGGAUACUUGAGGUGACAAUGGAGUACCUAGGUGACAUUAGUGUUUUGGUUGAUUUAUGUCUUAAGGUGUUAUUCUAGUACGAACUCUAGGGCUGUUUGUGACACUUAUAGGAAUAGCCCAACGGAUUGAUUGGAAAGAAUAACUUUGAGGUGGUUUCGUACCCUACCAUAAUCUCUUCGUUCGUUCUCCGCUAUUAAUGACUUUGGAGUGACUCUUUGUUGCAUGUUGAGGGAUAGUUAUGUGAUCCAAUUAUGUUAUUAUUGUUGAGAGAACUUGCACUAGUGAAAGUAUGAACCCUAGGCCUUGUUUCAACGCAUUGCAAUACCGUUUACGCUCACUUUUAUCAUUAGUUACCUUGCUGUUUUUAUAUUUUCAGAUUACAAAAACCUUUAUCUACCAUCCAUAUACCACUUGUAUCACCAUCUCUUCGCUGAACUAGUGCACCUAUACAAUUUACCAUUGUAUUGGGUGUGUUGGGGACACAAGAGACUCUUUGUUAUUUGGUUGCAGGGUUGCUUGAGAGAGACCAUCUUCAUCCUACGCCUCCUAUGGAUUGAUAAACCUUAGGUCACCCACUUGAGGGAAAUUUGCUACUGUCCUACAAACCUCUGCACUUGGAGGCCCAACAACGUCUACAAGAAGGUUGUGUAGUAGACAUCAGGGGAACCGACACAUAUUGUAUUGUUUCCAUCGAGGAUAACAAGAUGGGGUUUUCGUCAUAUUGCUUGAGUUUAUCCCGCUGCAUCAAGUCAUCUUACUUAAUGCGUUAUCCUGUUCUUAUGAACUUAAUACUCUAGAUGUAGGCAGGAGUCGGUGGACGUGUGGAGUAAUAGUAGUAGAUGCAAGCAGGAGUCAGUCUAGUUGAUACAAACGUGAUGCUUCUGUUCAUGAUCAUUGCCUUAGAUAUCGUCAUAACUUUGCGCUUUUAUAUCAAUUGCUCAACAGUAAUUUGUUCACCCACCGUAAGAUUUUCUAUCUUGAGAGAAGCCUCUAGUGAAACUAUGGCCCCGGGGUCUACUUUCCAUCAUAUAAGUUGCCGAUCUACAAUUUUAGUUUCCUAUCACUUCCUUUGCAAUCUUUUACUUUCCGUUCCAUAAAUCAAAAAUACCAAAAAUAUUACUUUACCGAUUAUCCAUCUCUAUCAGAUCUCGCUUUGCAAAUAACCAUGAAGGAUUGACAACCCCUUUAUCGCAUUGGGUGUAAGGUGCUAUUUCUUUGUGCAGGUCAGUGACUUGUGCAUUGUCUCCUACUGGAUUGAUACCUUGGUUCUCAAAACUGAGGGAAAUACUUACUCUACUUUGCUGCAUCACCCUUUCCACUUCAAGGGAAAAACCAACGCAAGCUCAAGAGGAAGUAGGAAGAAUUUCUGGCACCGUUGCCGGGGACAUCUACGCCAAGUCAAGACAUACCAAGUACCCAUCAUAAACUCUCAUCUCUGGCAUUAUAUUAUUUGCCAUUCACCUCUCGUUUUCCUCUCCCCCACUUAUAAAAUGAUUUGCCUUUUCUUCGCCCUCUUCCAUUCGUCUUCUUCGCUUGCUUUUUGUGUGCUCAUGUGUUGGAUUGCUUGCUUUGUCACGAUGUCUCAAGAGAAUACCAAAUUGUGUGACUUUUCCAAUACCAACAACAAUGAUUUUAUUAGUACCCCGAUUGCUCCCGCUACUAAUGCGGAAUCUUGUGAAAUUAAUGCUGCUUUGCGGAGUCUUGUUAUGAAAGAUCAAUUUUCCGGCCUUCCCAAUGAAGAUGCCGCAUCCCAUCUAAACAAUUUCGUUGAUUUGUGUGUUAUGAAAAAGAAAAAAGAUAUGGAUAAUGAUAUUGUUAAAUUGAAGCUAUUUCCGUUGUCACUUCGAGAUCGUGCUAAAACUAGGUUUUCAUCUUUGCCUAAAAAUAGCGAGUGUCAUUUUUUAAUGCGAGUGAUUAGUUUUUAAAGAAUGAUUGGCAUUCUUUCUUAAUUGCUCAUCUACUAAUCGUUUGGCGUGUUUUCUUAUCUUGUCAAAAUCAUAUCCCCUGGCUGUAAAUAUCAAAGAAUAAUUUCAUUUGUUGGGCUUGGACUGUACUGUCCGAGAGUCAGAGUAUAAAUACCAUACGAUUUCAAGAGCAAUAGCAACGGGGCAACCAUUAGUCCAUACUCUACACCAUAUGGCUAGAAAUUUUAUAUUAUAUAUAACAAAGUUGUGACAAAUUGGAAAUGGAAAACAAUAAAAUGAAUAUGUUGCUAUAGGUUAUUAUUAUUACACAUGCACGUGUAUCUUGAUCCUUGCUUGGACAUAGGGUCCGAGGAAGUUACAUUGCUUUGACUACUGAUAUUGUUUGUGUCAAAGUGUGCCACAAUGGCAUAAAUAUUGUCGUUGCAUAAUGGGAAACCACGUCAUAUUUAUCGAUGAUAUGUGGAAAUAGGGAUGAGCUACUUUAUGAAGAUAUAUAAGGAUGUAUGGGUUACGUUGGUGGAAAAUGUUGUUAUGAACACAAAUGCAGUUGCAUUUAUCCUGCAUUCGCGGUGAAGUGCGCUAUUGUGGCAUAUAUCUUCCUUUUUGCCACAGAAGCAUGGUAGAAUUAUAAAGAGAGUAUGUUUCUAUAGACAUUUCAAAAAGGAGAUUUGUGUAUACUCUCAUUAUACUGUAAGCACCAUAGAUUAUUCAGAUUAGAAGUUGUUGUCUCUACCACAUAUUUAUAUUUUCUAUACAUACUAAUAUCGCAUAGAAAAUCAUGUAUUUAUAUGAGAUCUUUGUGGUGCAUGAUAAAGCAAGAUUCCUUUUGUUAUUGCAGCAAUUUAUAAGUAUUUAAAUAUAUACUAAUAGCUAGUUUCUUCUGUGUUAUAAGGACAAAAUAAGACAUGCAUAGACAUGCAAAUACGUAUUAGAAAUCUGCUACUCCAAAUGUAUCAUGUUAAUCCAUGUAAGCCACGAAUCGCGUGCAUAUCAGGCAAAGCAGUUUUUUUUGUAAAAACAAUACAUAAUACUAAUCGAUGGUAUAGACGAUUCAAUACAUAUGCAUCAAGACACCGCUACCUUGCACAUAGUGAUAUAGGAUGGAAUUGAAUCUGAUCCGCUCCUUUCCAACUUAAUCGAGUAAUGUGUACUUCUCAUAAAUAGGCAUGUAUAUAGUAAUUGUUCUUUUGACCAAAUGCUUGGUAUAUUAAUGAUCACAUUAUACAUUUAUGUAACAUUUCUUACUUGCGAAAUCUUUUACAAAUUGGAAUAUGGGAAUUUUAUUAAUACCUAGAAGAAAUACUACUAUUCAGAAAAUAUAAUAACUGGUACUAUACUUUUUCUUAAUAUUGGUACUAUACUUAAUUGGACCAAAAGUUACACAUAUUUUUGAUUAGUUCAUUUUUUUCUACAGAUUUAUCAGCGCCAUUAUUUCUCUAUGGUUGACAUGUAUAUGAACUACUGUCUGUAUAUAUUGAUCUGCAUUUAGACAAAUAUCAGGGACAAACACACAUACUGUUUAGCAUGUGUAGUUGUAAAGGUAGAAUACUGAUUUGUAGUAUUAAGCAAAUACAUUUAUAAGAUCUUACUACAAUGUAUAUGGAUUGAGAAUCAGAGAAAUAACCAAGUGUUGUGCAAGGAUCAUUCUGACUAUCCAGUGGCAGAAUAAAAAUAGGAUGCUAAGCGCGGGGAGAAUACAUAUGUCCUAUAAACCUGCAAAUAAGAAGCAUCCAUUCACCAUAUAUUAAAAUUCCAAAUUUGAUAGUUCCUUUGCAUGUUGGAAAUAAGCUUUGCCCCUUGUGAUAUGGAUUAUCACGUAGAAUGGAAAGAGGAGAAAAAAAUUAUGGCUUAGCAGAAUCAAUGAGGGAAAGCACUACAUGUGAAGUAUCAAAACGUUGUGAUAGCACGAACCCCACCAGAUUUGAACUCGUGCUCUUAGUAUGACAUGAAAAGAGGGGCUACUCUCCAAUCGAAGUGAAAAUAGUAGAACUUUGAACUUAUAUAUAUAUACGCUUAAAAAUUCUAAAAGCAAAUGGUCAAAAACUCAGAAUAGCUUGAGCGGGCACUACUUGCUAACUCAAGCACAUGGCAACACAGUAUUAAGUCAAGAUUUUGCAACCGAGAGGGAAAGUCAAAUAAAUAAAUAAAUAAGGAUUCUCAUCAAACCUGUGAAUCCAAGCUAGUAUAUAACUAUUGUAUUGCCCAUUGUUUGCAUAGGCGGUAAACAAUUCUGUGUCGGUUUGCAUUUCCAGAUGUGGCUCUAUAUCCUCCCCUUCUAUCGGAAUGCCAAAUAUACCUUGCACGUCCUCUUUUGUUAUAGGAAUUGGCGUUUUACCGAUGGUAAUGGAUUGCGUGUCCAUAUCUAUGCUCUUGGCUAGUCUAACCAACAUUAUGCGCCGUAGAGUCACUUCAUGCAUCUGGGUCAGACCGGCAAGACUGGUUUCUGAUAUGAUGUACUUUCUGUGGUCUUGUGACAACAGUUUCAUGGUUUUUCCGAACCUUGUCUGUGAGCAUACUAACUUCAUAUGACCAUGCUUUUCGGCGAGUUCCUGUUACAUGCCAUUAAAUAUUACUGAGUACACAUGAAUUAUGUGUACGAAACGAUUGUACCCAAACAGUAAAUUACUUACCGCAUCGGUAAUUUCGGAGAUGGGCUUUUCUCCAUUAUUAAGGUUCGUAUCUGAAACUGACAUUGCUGCCUCGUAUGCAAUGAUAAAAUCAGGCUCAAUUAAUCUGAACAAAAUUGGAAAAUGUAUAACAAAAUUAGCAGAGAAUUAAUUUUAACAAAAUUAACUGGGUCAUUUAACAUAUGAUCCACUUAUGGGUUUAAGCACAGAACCUAUUUGGGUGCAAAACCUAUGAGGGUUCAACAACUAAAGCAUCGGCGGACAACGAUUAUAAAGAGUUACAAUCAGCUAAGACCUUACCUCGGAGAUGGUGCCACCGAGUAGAUGGCGGCGGUUAGUGCGUCGGAAACUAUAAGUGCCGGUAUAGCGCGGUCGACGGCGCAAAGGAAAAACAGCAUGUUCACGCGAGGAGGAGGCGGCGAGAAGAACACUGACGUCCGAGCCCUUAGAUCACGUUGGCGGUGGGCGGCGAGUGGUGGCCGCCGACUCCUGUAUUCCGUGGGCGACCGGCGUCUCCGAUCUGAUCUUGCAGCGGUCGUGGGAGGUGCGGACGGCCCGGGUGGUUAGAAUGCGGAGCUGUAAUCGCGGGAUUUAGGGAGGGGUGGGCCGCGUGAGUUAUGUGAGAUUUGGAUAAAUGAUAUAAAGAAAUAAGAAAAUCUUGUGAACUCGAUGUGGGGUUUAUGGGGUUUAGGGUUUAGGGGUUUAGGGUUAUUAGGGUUUAGGGGUUUAGGGGUUUAGGGGUUUAGGGUUAUCAGGGGUUAGAGUUAUCAGGGUUUAGGGUUGAGUGUUUACAUGCAAGCCCGGAAAUGCGCGUGUCAGAGAACGUACUUGCAUGUAUAUGUACUAAUGAUCCCAAACUUUCUUAAUGGCAUCCCAUGACCACAUAGAGAAUGAAUGCAUAAUGGUUUCCAUGUUGGGCAAAAUUUUGAAUGUUUUUACGGUUUAGUGGGGGGGUGGGGUUAGGGUUAUGAGGGUUUAGGGUUUAAGGGUUCUAGGGUUGACGGAACUAUGUUUGUCUUACGGUGGACGUAGCACACACACCGGACAUUGGUGGAGCGUUGUCUACAAUGGACUCCCUCUGGUAGCAUCGAUCCGAUCCGUUGAAUGGCUCGGCCGACAAACUUCGUGCCAGAUAGAGCAUGCAUCCAUCCACUGGACCGGAUCAAUGUUGGGUUCGUUUCAUACAGGUGAGGAAAGCAGCUAGUGCUUUCGGGGUGUUGACAUGCUAGGCCAGAAAUGUGCGUGUCAGAUUUCGUACUUGCAUGUAUAAUCCCAAACUUUUUNNNNNNNNNNNNNNNNNNNNNNNNNNNNNNNNNNNNNNNNNNNNNNNNNNNNNNNNNNNNNNNNNNNNNNNNNNNNNNNNNNNNNNNNNNNNNNNNNNNNNNNNNNNNNNNNNNNNNNNNNNNNNNNNNNNNNNNNNNNNNNNNNNNNNNNNNNNNNNNNNNNNNNNNNNNNNNNNNNNNNNNNNNNNNNNNNNNNNNNNNNNNNNNNNNNNNNNNNNNNNNNNNNNNNNNNNNNNNNNNNNNNNNNNNNNNNNNNNNNNNNNNNNNNNNNNNNNNNNNNNNNNNNNNNNNNNNNNNNNNNNNNNNNNNNNNNNNNNNNNNNNNNNNNNNNNNNNNNNNNNNNNNNNNNNNNNNNNNNNNNNNNNNNNNNNNNNNNNNNNNNNNNNNNNNNNNNNNNNNNNNNNNNNNNNNNNNNNNNNNNNNNNNNNNNNNNNNNNNNNNNNNNNNNNNNNNNNNNNNNNNNNNNNNNNNNNNNNNNNNNNNNNNNNNNNNNNNNNNNNNNNNNNNNNNNNUUUAGGGUUAACGGAACUAUGUUUUUCUUACGGUGGACUUAGCACACACACCGGACAUUGAUGGAGCGUUGGUCUACAAUGAAUUCCCUCCGGUAGCAUCGAUCCGUUCCGUUGACUGGCUCGGACGACAAACUUCGUGCCACAUAGAGUAUGCAUCCAUCCACUAGACCGGAUCGAUGUUUGGUUGGUUUCAUACAGGUGAGGAACCCAGCUAGUGCUUUUGGGGUGUUGACAUGCUAGGCCGGAAAUGUGCGUGUCAGAGAUCGUACUUGCGUGUAUAAUCCCAAAAAUCUUUCAUGGCAUCCCAUGACCACAUAGAGAAUGCAUGCAUAAUGGUUUCCAUGUUGGGCAAAAUUUUGAAUGUUUUUACGGUUUAGUGGGGGGGGGUGGGGUUAGGGUUAUCAGGGUUUAGGGUUUACGGGUUCUAGGGUUGACGAAGCACACACACCGGACAUUGAUGGAGCGUUGGUCUACAAUGGAGUCCCUCCUGUAGCGUCGAUCUGGUCCGUCGACUGGCUCGGUCGACAUACUUCGUGCCACAUAGAGCAUGCAUGCAUCCACUGAACCGGAUCAAUGUUGGGUUGGUUUACAUGUACAUGUACACGGACCCGAAAUGCGCGUGUCAGAGAUCGUACUUGCGUGUACAUGUACCAUCCUUCCAUCCACUGGCUGGGCCGACAACCUUCAUGCCACAUUGUUCACAUUGUCCAAUUAACACUUUGUAUAGAUUUUUUUCAUAAAAAAUGAACGAAAUAAUGCAACUAAUCUGAACAUAACGUUUGGCAUAUAUCAAACCAAGUUGCCACUAUUCCUCAAAAAAAAGAACCCAGUUAGCCACUAAUUGCGCCAAACAUAUCUCGUAAUUACGAACGAAAAUGGGUUGACAAUUAUAUCUGGAAAUUCUUGGACUGAAUUUAAUGCUCUUCCUUUUUUAGAGAACAAUAAGUUAGAAUGGUGGGCGGCGGGUUGGCACGGGCACGGCCAUGGCUCGGGCUUGUGUCAUAUGUGGUUCGACCCGCGGUCAGUGCACAUGUUUUCGAAGCCCUGAAAAGAUCGUGCUCGUUAAAAAAAACUUGCAUCGACGCGCAUUACUUCAAAAUAACUAAUUAACCCUACAAUCACGGAUAUAGACCUUCCCAUUCUACCGCAUAUCUACCCUAUCCUAUCCACCCCAUCUACCUUGUUUCUCCUCACAUAGCCAUCGCCGGGAUCGCGCCAUCGCUUCUCAAGCGACCACGCCGACGCCGGAUUAAAAAGGUCUCUUCCACGGCUUCUCUCAUCUUCGAUUGCAGUGCUGAUUAUUUUUUCCAUUGAUUCGACCAACAAGUAAUUUCCGAAGAGAUUAGAAAAUCCAGCUUUUGCCAUAGUUGAGUAGUUCUGUUGUGAUUCGAGUACAGGAUGUCAUGCAAGAGCUUUUUGAUUAAUAGUUUGUACUAGUUGAUCAUACGAACUUAUUAUGAAUAUUUUUUCACGGUCGUAUUGUUUCGAAUUAGUUGGAUGAGGGUGUGGAUACAGUUUUCAUACUAUGGGUAUAUGUGUUGCUGUAGGGACCAUGGUCUCAGAGGCGCAUAACAACCGUGCGGAGUACGACAAGUCUUUGCAUGAAGCGCGUCGGGAGAUCGACUUGAAGGUGCAAAAGGAUCGCGCUGAGGUAGAUAAGAAACUGAAAAAAGAACGUUCAUACGUGGACAGGAUGAUAAAGGAGGAGCGUGAGGAGUUUUCCCUUAAGAUGGCGAAGAUGCGUCUUGAGAUUGAAGAAAAGUAUAAGAGGGACUGUGAGCACAUGGAAAAAAAGUUUGUCUUAGGCUACAAGGAAAUGCAUCAAACGUUGCAGAAGGACCGGAAGCUUGUGGACAGUAUUAUACAGACAGAGCGAGUCAGGAUGGAUGCCUAUGUGUUGCAGGCACGUGCGGAUAUGGACAGUAAGCUGCUACAGGAGCGGUCAGACAUGGAUUAUAAGGCCAUGCUGGAGAAGGUCCGCUUGGAAGGACAUAUGUUAGAAGACCGUGCGAUCUCACGGCCACCACGACAACAUGUCAUCAAUUAUUCUCCCCCUGUAAGUAUCUCGCACCGAUUCUAUAUAUUAAGGACCUACGUAUUCUAUGAUAUAAACAUCUUCAAUUUGUGGCAACCUUAUGUCGGCGAUUGUAUGUAGGCUAAGCAUCAUGACACGGCACAGUCGCCAUUCACUCGACACAUUGCGAUAGAGUCACCCGUUCAAUGCCACAUCAGUCCACCCCAACAACAU